UACAGAGGUCUCAAGCGUUGUUCGGAUUCAUUGGGCGUAAAGGGUGCGUAGGUGGCGCCGUAAGUCAGGUGUGAAAUUUCGGAGCUUAACUCCGAAACUGCAUUUGAUACUGCGGUGCUUGAGGACUGGAGAGGAGACUGGAAUUCACGGUGUAGCAGUGAAAUGCGUAGAUAUCGUGAGGAAGACCAGUGGCGAAGGCGGGGUCUCUGGACAGUUCCUGACACUGAGCACGAAGGCCAGGGGAGCAAACGGG
rnacentral:rRNA from 1 species